rnacentral:rRNA from 1 species
GUGCCAGCCGCCGCGGUAAUACGUAGGUGGCAAGCGUUAUCCGGAAUUAUUGGGCGUAAAGCGCGCGUAGGCGGUUUUUUAAGUCUGAUGUGAAGCCCACGGCUCAACCGUGGAGGGUCAUUGGAAACUGGAAAACUUGAGUGCAGAAGAGGAAAGUGGAAUUCCAUGUGUAGCGGUGAAAUGCGCAGAGAUAUGGAGGAACACCGGUGGCGAAGGCGACUUUCUNGGUCUGUAACUGACGCUGAUGUGCGAAAGCGUGGGGAUCAAACAGGA